CCUACGGGAGGCAGCAGUGGGGAAUAUUGGGCAAUGGGCGCAAGCCUGACCCAGCAACGCCGCGUGAAGGAAGAAGGCUUUCGGUUUGUAAACUUCUUUUGGCAGGGAAGAGUAGAAGACGGUACCUGUCGAAUAAGCCACGGCUAACUACGUGCCAGCAGCCGCGGUAAUACGUAGGUGGCACGCGUUGUCCGGUUGUACUGGGUGGAAAGGGCGUGUAGCCGGGUUGACAAGUCAGAUGUGAAAUCCUGCGGCUUAACCGCAGAACUGCAUUUGAAACUGUUGAUCUGGAGUACUGGAGAGGCAGACGGAAUUCCGAGUGUAGCGGUGAAAUGCGUAGAUAUUAGGAGGAACACCAGUGGCGAAGGCGGUCUGCUGGACAGCAACUGACGGUGAGGCGCGAAAGCGUGGGGAGCAAACAGGAUUAGAUACCCCAGUAGUC
rnacentral:rRNA from 1 species